rnacentral:rRNA from 1 species
UACGUAGGGUGCGAGCGUUGUCCGGAAUUAUUGGGCGUAAAGAGCUUGUAGGCGGUUUGUCGCGUCUGCUGUGAAAUCUCAAGGCUCAACCUUGAGCUUGCAGUGGGUACGGACAGACUAGAGUGCGGUAGGGGAGACUGGAAUUCCUGGUGUAGCGGUGAAAUGCGCAGAUAUCAGGAGGAACACCGGGUGGCGAAAGGCGGGGUCUCUGGGGCCGUAACU